rnacentral:rRNA from 1 species
CAGAAGUAGAUAGGGUAACCGCAAGGAGCCCGUUUACCACGGUAUGUUUCAUGACUGGGGUGAAGUCGUAACAAGGUAGCCGUAGGGGAACCUGCGGCUGGAUCACCUCCUUU